rnacentral:tRNA from 1 species
GCGGAUGUAGCUCAAUGGUAGAGCCUCUGCCUUCCAAGCAGAUGGUGCGGGUUCGAUUCCCGUCAUCCGCUCCG